AAAUUUAUUUUUUUAUUAUAUUUGUUUUGAAGGAUCAAUUUAUUUUUAUUAUUUAUUUAGAAAAAAAAAGUUUUUAUUAUAGAGUAUUAGUAUAGAUAUAGAAUUAAUUUUUAAAUUUUUAAAAGAAAAAUUUACUUUUUGUACCUUGUGUUUCAGGGUUGAUUAAUUUUAAAUUAAAUAUUUAAUUAUCCCGAUUAUAAAAGAGCUAAUUUUUUAUUUAUUUAAUUGUUGAAAAAAUUUUUUAAAUAAGAAGUUUGAAAUUAAAUGUUAUUCGUUUUUAUAGAUAUCUGGUUUUUAAAGAAAAGAAUUUAAUUUUUUAAUUUUUUUAUAAACAUUUAAUUUUUAGUUGUUUAUUUUUAAUUUGAAAUAUCUAAUGGGAUGAGCUUUUAGAUAUAUUUUUAAAAAUUAUUUUUUAUUUUUAUUAUUAAUAUGAUUAUUAUUGUCGAUUUAUUAAAUAAUUUAAUAGUUAUUAUUUUUUUUUAUAUUAUUAUUUAUAUUUUAUUUUAAUUUUUUUAUUUAAAUUUAUUAUUUAAUUUGUUUUUAUGAGUAAUAAUGAUUAAAUUAGUAAAUAAUUUAUUUAUUAUAAUAAUAUUUAUUUUAGGUAAUUAAAAGGAAUUCGGCAAAUUUUAUUUCCGCCUGUUUAUUAAAAACAUGUCUUUUUGAUAAUAAUUUAAAGUUUAAUCUGCUCAAUGAUUAUUUAAAUUGCCGCAGUAUUUUGACUGUGCAAAGGUAGCAUAAUAAUUAGUUUUUUUAUUGAAAACUUGCAUGAAUGAUUGGACGAGAAAAAUUCUGUCUCUUUAUUAUUUUUUAUUUAAUUUAACUUUUAAGUUAAAAGGCUUAAAUUAUUAUUAAUGACGAGAAGACCCUAUAGAGUUUUAUUAUUAAUUUAUUAUUAUUGUUUUUAGAAUUUAAAUUUAAUAUAUUUUAAAAAUUUAGUUGGGGUGACUAAAAGAUUUAAUUAACUCUUUUAAUUUAUAAUCAUAGAUUUAUGAACAUAUAAUCUAAAAUAAUAAAUUUAAAUUAAAUUACCUUAGGGAUAACAGCGUAAUUUCUUUUUAUAGUUCUUAUUGAUAGAGAAGUUUGCGACCUCGAUGUUGGAUUAAAAUAUAUUUCGGGUGAAGAAGCUUGAAUAUUAAGUCUGUUCGACUUUUAAAAUUUUACAUGAUCUGAGUUUAAACCGGUGUAAGCCAGGUUGGUUUCUAUCUUAAUUUAAAUAUUAUGUUUUAGUACGAAAGGACCAAAUAUUUAAUAUAAUUAUUUAUAUUUUGAAUUUUAUU
rnacentral:rRNA from 1 species